GGAGAAGCAGCUACUAUCUGAUAAUAAAGCAUGUUUUCUACCACAGUGAACUGAUUUGUAAAACUAGUGAGUUGCUGACUUGCAGUUGAGUGUCUACUGGUAGUAUCAUUUUUAUUAACCCCCGCAGAACCCCUGCCAGUAGUACAUGGGUGGUAUUUGUUCCUUUGUACAGAAGCUGUACCCCUUGCCAUAAGGCUAUGCCUAGAAGCUUAGCUUAUGAAUUAGGACAGCCAAAAAGAACAGGGAGCACACUGGGAAGGCAGAAAUGAUUUGAAGCUAUUCUUACUCCUCUUGAUCCAAGAGCAAUCAAUUUCAACGCAGCCUAUCAAUAGCACCUCUUCCUUCCUCUCAUCCAAGAGGCUGUCAGGUGUGAAUACAGGAGCCACAUCUCCUAUUCUGGAGCAAUGCUCUGGGCAGUGAGAAGCACAGGAUGGGGUUUCAUGCUGAGGAGGGACUCCUUGUUCCACCUCGUGUCAAGGAGGUGAAUUCUGCUGAAUCCCCUGACCAUAAGACCACAUGUGGAGUAAAGUUCCAUAUUUAGAAACUGUUUGUAUCUGUUACUCCAAUCAUGCAUACAGGCAUUGCUUUAUGAGAGGAAAAUAUUAACAUUCAAAUCACUACCCUUGCUUCUGCUUGCAAAAUAUAGUGUGUGCAUAUGAUCACAGUUUAUCUGACCUUCUAGUUCUUAAAAUUACAGAGCCCCACUUCAUUCAAGCAGUGAAAAGAGGAAAUCCCAAUGGCCUAACAGUUCUAGGCUGAAAGGCUUUAAAAAUGUGACCUUUCUUUCCCUUUCUUUUCUGAAAAUGGAGGCAGGUCAUUCAGUUUGCAAAGGAAAAAAGCCAGAUGGUGCUAGGUAUCUUUCCUUUAUGGCAUGUGUUUGUACACAGUGUUUUCAUUCUCCCCUUUCUUUAAUUUCCAUGAAUUGCUUUUUAUUCCUGCUCUUUAUUCCCACCCCCCUCCACCCCCCAACAAAUUUGCUUACAUAUUCUACAACUGUUUUAUGAAAAGGCCGCACUUGAUACCUGUGAUGCAUGAUAUAUAACGCUGCACAGGACAAGUAACUGGUGUUGUUACGGAUCUUCAUCUUAAUUAUGAAAAUUUUUUAAUUUAAAUGUAGGGCUGAGCAUACAAAAUACAGUACUGGGCCAUCUGUUAGUUUUCCAUCUGGGCUCAUUUGCAGAAUACAUUCUGUUUCCCCCCUAAACACUAUUUAUAAUCUUCCUUGGAAAACAAAUAUGACUAAUCUGCGGCAUGCUAAAGAUAGCUAUUUGCAUGCAGCUUUUAAUAGAAGUGGCUAUAUGGUUCAAAGUAGUAACAAAACACAUUUAUUUUGUUUUGCAUGCAGGUGUAAAAGCUCACAUGGCUUCUGCACACAAAGAAGCUCUCCGUAACACGCUGCUUUUAACUAGAGGAAAAUGAAAAUCCACAGGAUAUUUGAUCACAAAGGAAUAUUUAUAAAUGAUGCAGUGUUAAAGGAAGAGCUUCCAUGGUGACAUAGAAGCAAUCACCCAUUCAGCAACAGAAAGGCCUGUAGAGAUCUGAUGGCAUCUAAGCUUAGCUGGUGGAGACCACAUGCGCUUCACAUGCUUUUCCUUGGAAAUUAAAGAAAGCAGAUAUUUGACAGGGACUUUUUAAUAGACAGGUCAAAGUUAUGAGUCCCUGAAAUUAAAAAUGAUGAUCAGAGAGGGUCAGUCCUGUCCAAACAGGUAAGAGUCUUUCAGAAAAGGUUUGCACAAACAGGUAACAACUCCUCAUGUGAAAACCAAGGUCUAGUUCUGAAGGGGGUUGCCUGCCUUAUCCUUUAGGAUUUAUUUAUUUCCACUUUAGCCAUUUUCUAAUAUUUCAAUAUGUGAAACCACAUAGGUUUCACAUAUUGGUUUGAUUGCAGGUCAGCUGUCAGAUGUUUCAGUUGUAGAUCUUGCACUUAGAGAGAUCCAUUAGUGGACAGAAAAACAGAAUGAUUUCAUUCAUAAUGCAAGGGACAACUUUGAGAUCUGUCUAUAGCCAUUGCCAACACCCUUGAUAAUGAAAAAGUACCACACAGUAGUCAUUACCACUGAACAGCACCUCUUCAUCAUCGAGAGGCAGUACCAAAGAAAACAACAGAUAGAACAACUUGAAAUCAUAAUGCAGUUUUCCUUCUUACGUUAAGGGGAAGUAAAAUCAAAUAGUGGUAUCCUUUUCACUCUGAUGCCUCUGGGUGUGGUCUUACAAAGACCAGUAGCAUGUGUUCAACUGUAUCAGUUGAGACAAUGCAUCUUGAAGAUCAAGGAGAUAGGUGUUCUACUCCAGCUUGUUUCCAUCUAAGCUUCACCAAAAUAGUUGUGUGGAUAAACCCUACCUAAAAGAAGAACCAGACAAAGAAAUGAGAAAGAUUGGAAGGGCACACUCUUUUUAAAUGUCAUUUUGGACACUUCCUCAUCAGUGUCCUAAAACUCAGAACAUUCUCUUGGGAGGUUGGCUACAAUUGAAUUCAGCCUCCUUUCAGCUCUGUGAAUCUGGUUUCCACAGGGCUUUUCAUUAAACAGUCCUCAGAGAAAAAAAAGGACUGAAUACAUUAAACCUUGGGCCAUUGGGAGAAAAGAAUAAAAGCAAUAUGUAAAAAAUACCAGUGCAUUCAACCAGUUUCUCUCUGUUCUUCCCUCCAGUCUAAUUAUGAUAGGUAUCAAGUCAUGUUCCCUCAUGUGCUCUGCCAAGUACAUCAUUUUACUGAUGUAGGGAGGAGAGGGGUGGGGGGACUUAAAUUUGCCUCCCAUAUGUGCUUCUUGGUAAGGAGUUAGCAGAGCAGACUGCCAUGAGGAGUUUAGUGAUGAGUGGUUACCUGAGGAAAAAAAAAACUUCAGUCUCACUGUCUGCUUUGUCAGUGCUGGACUCACUCCCUUGGAAAGAUGGGCCUCAGGACUCUUCAUGGGAGGAACUGAAAAGACUUUGACCUUCAGCUGCAUACAAGAAUCUUCUAAAGGCCAUGGUGAUCAAAUUGGAUGAACUUUACUGCCAUCUGGGGAUGUAAUAUUUUCGUUUAUGUUUGUCAUUCUAUCUUUUAAUCUCAUUAAAGAGACUCAUUAUGGAGUUUAAGGGAUAAAAGAAAAAGCAUUUCAGUGUUUUCACUUACUGUGAAAGCAAGUGGAGAAAAGACAGUCUUCUUUGUUGUCUCCUGAGAGUUUUUGAGGCUGAACCUAGCAAGUGAACUCGCCAAAGGGCACACUCCUGUCUGUGGAUAUGCACUACUUUCAGCAUCUGUGGAGGACAAUGCCAAUGCAUGGUAGCACUGCUGAUCGUCCAUGUGAGGCCCAGGGAACAGGUAAGCUCUGCCCUGUGUCUCAAACCCAUCAAAAUUGGAACUGGAGAAGUGUUAGUAAAGCAGGUGUUGAACAUACCUUAUUUUCUGCUGCUCUGUUGUAAUCUCUUGUGUUCGGUGUAGUGCUGCCAUGCACAUUUAACACGCAACCAUCUAAAAAGCCAAUAUUUGUGCGCAUGUCUGCUUAAAAUGGAUACAUGGUCUUGUACAACAACCAGAAAGUGCCAUGCCAGAGAUCUGGAAAAUAAAUCACCAGACUCCCUUGAAACUAAGGACAACAUUAUUUCAAUGCAAAAACUACAGACUGUCAAAGGAGUUAAGUCUAAUACAAACAAAAGGAGGUGUUUUUUCACUCAGCAGGUAGCAGGUCUGUGAAGUUCCUUCCCAGAGGAAACUGGAUAAAAAAAUGUUUGUAUCCCACCAUAGGAAGAUGGGAUUAAUGUCCAGAAGACAGCAUGUUACUCAGAAAACCAUACCUGGGUCAGGAAAUCCUGACCCUGAAGGAUGGAAGAUGGGAGAGAGUUCCAGGACAUGGCAGGGGAAUAUGUUUAUCAUAGAAUAAUAGAAUGGCCUGGGUUGAAAAGGACCACAGUUGGCCUUCCUGACUGCAAGCACACACUUCUGUCUGAAGUCCAGUUUCUCAUCCACCAGGACCCACAAAUCUUUCUCUGCAGGGCUGUCCUCAGCGAGUUCUUCUCCCAGCCUGUAUAAAUACCUGGGAUUACUCUGACCCAAGUGCAGCACCCUGCACUUGGCCUUGUUGAACCUCACCAGGUCCUCAUGGGCUCACUUCUCCAGCUUGUCCAGAUCCUUCUGGGUGGCUUUCCUUCCCUCCAGUGUAUCAACUGCACCAUUUAGUUUGGUGUCAUCUGCAAACUUGCUGUGGAUGCACACAAUUCCAUCGUCUACAUCAGCAGUAAAAAUUCUUAAUCCACCAAACAAAUCCAUACCUCUCCAAUUUAGAGAGGAGGAUGUGGUGAGGGACCAUGUCAAAAGCUUUGUAGAAGUCCAGGUAGAUGAAAUCUGUCACGCUUCCCCAUCUACCAAUGCCAUCACUCCAUCACUGAAGGCCACCAAACUGGUCAGGCAGGAUCCAUCCUUGGUGAAGCCAUGGUGGCUGUCUCGGAUCACCUCUUCAUCUCAUAUGUGCCUUAAUAUGGUAACCAGGAGGACCUGCUCCAUGAUCUUAUGUUGGUCUUAUGACUUCCCAGACAUCUGUUAAUGGCAAGUGGUGAAGCUGGACUUGAUGUAACCUUCAUUUGGGUCAGGGUGGUUCCUCUUAUGUCAUACUUUCAUGAUGACAAUAUAAAUAGCACAGGUAACAGGACUGAUGCAAAAUAGAGGGAGAUGUAAAAUCAUGGAUUAUUUUAUAAGAUUUCUGAUUUCACUUUAGAGUUAAUUCAUAAAAUGUUCUGUUUCAAGAAAGUAGCAAAUGUAUAGCGGUUCUGAUACAAUUCCACACAAACUUUCUUCUUAUUUGCCUUAACAAAAAGAGUGUACCAUCAAAGCCAGUAACCCUAACUCAAGCCCUUGCUUGAUAAUGUUUUCACAGGUGAUCGUUUUUACUAAGAAAUCUUACAUUAUUUAUAUGAUCAGCUGGAACAUCUGUGAUAUUUUGUGUUCUUUUUCAGAGGUCUGCAUUUAUAUUUGGAUGAGGGAACAGUAUUAAAUACAGCACUAGAGUGAACUUUAUUGUGAUAAAAAUAUUUUGCUUUACACUCAAUGAAAAGGAAUAUUGAUAAAGUCAAAUAAAUUAGUGUCUUGGUUAUCCUCUUAAUUGUUCUAAUGGCCUUGAUUCUGAGGUGGGGAGUGGAAGGAGAGUAUGCAGGGAAAGUAACAAAAACUGUUUGCCCUUGAGAUAGCAUGAGGGCCAAGACUUUGACUAAAUUGAUGUAAGGUAUUUUAUCACUGUUGCACUUAAAGAGAAGAUACCAGCAGCAGGGCAAAAAGCUCUUUGAAACCUAUCCCACCUUCCCUCACAAAUAUUAUCUGCUAUUUCCUGCCCCAGCAGGGGGAUGCAGUUGUAGCACCUGUGGUGUUUCAGAUGUGCACUGAGUUGUAACAAACUGAGGAUGUAAGGCCCCCACUUCAUAAAGGACUUUUUCCAGUCAAUUCCCACUGGUGGCAUAUGACCUUAAUACUCUUUCUUCACUUCUGCCUUCUCACAUGACCCACUUGUGGUCAGUUAUCAAGCAACAAAAUCUGUGUCAACCGGGAUUCAAUGAGAGUAACCAUUAGCUUCCAAUUACUAGUUGUUCAAGGUUUAUCGAGCGUUGUGUCUGUAAUUAGGGAACUAAGAUGUAAACUGCAGUGUCCUUUACAAAGUCAGUCUUGUGGGAAUAAUUUCAAGAACCAAUUGCUGUUGCUGGAUAGUAAUUGGGAACCCAGAGGGAUUCACAUAUGAAUAACAAAUGAAGGAGCACAGUAGUAGCAGGAAUUUAUACCUGGAACGUUAGAGUUCUUAAUGACCCCAUUGAAAGGAAUAAGGUCAUUCGUUAUUUGAAGGCUCAUGAGACACUGCAUUUUCUAAGGAUAAAAAUCACACACAAGGUUAGGAAGUAAAAAUGUGAGACAUGAGGGCUUUCUGAUGUCUGUCAGUCAGGACUGCCAAUGGUGUUGGCAUUCUGUGACAGAACAUUUCUUACAUUUUUGUCACAGUAGCUUGAAGUCCCAGGUGUUGACUGCCUAGAAACAAAGCUUGAAGUUAGGCAAGGCUGUUUCAUACAUCUCAUUUUGUGAGUGUUUUACAUGCCUGAGAUUCACAGAGCAGUGCAGAUAAGUGAGUGGGUAGGGUUUACAUUGAGGAGAUUAAAUGAAUUUUAGUGCAAGAAACAUUCUGGCUGAAGAUCCAGACCAGAUAGCACCUUCUAAAACAUGUAAAACAAAUUCACUUGUCUAUUACAGACAUGCUGAAGACCAAGAGUUAAAUUUUCUAAAUUAUGCUGUGAUAGUGAAUAUCAAGGCUUGAAUAGCCAUUGGGGUUGUAUAAAUAUACUCUACACACACACUUUCAGAUCACAGAUAACAACAUUUCCAAUAAUUUGGUUUGAAAACAAGACUUAAUCCUGAGUUUCAUCACAUCUCGGCUAAGCAGUGUCAUUGUAGUUUCUAUUCUAGAAGCAACUUCCUUAAAAAUAUGAAAACUAUUUGUAUUAAUUCUGAGAUUUUCUGGCUGUAUUCGCAUGGCUGUGAUAAGUUUGACUGGACCUAAAGAAGUCACCUAAAGGAUGUUACUACCAGAAGUUUAAAAUCCUGUAAAUUAACAUAAAAGAGUGCCUGCAUUUUCAAAUCUAUAGCAACUUGCUUGGCAAUAAUACUGUAAUUCAUCUCCACUCCCCUCCUCCACUCUCCCAAAAAACAUGAAAAACCACAAAAAAGGUAGUGUGUGAAAUUCACUUUUGAGAGGAACCAAAACUUGAGCCUGCAAGGUUUCUUUCUCAGUUAUUCGUGGUACAAGCUUCUCACACUGUUUCAAAAUCUUCUUGGGUGUCCUGUCUUCUCUGAGAGCAGGGGCUGUCUGCAGCGUCUAGAGACUGCAGCUGAGUCUUUCCUCCACAAAUGGACCACCAGCUCCUUGUUCUCUGAGUUAAAUAAAAUGUAGUUAUCAGAAGAGGUAUCCUAUCUUUGACCGCCUAUACUAACCUAAACCUUUCACCUGGGUGAGUAAGAUAUAACUGUGUUGGGUGUUUUUUCUUUGUUUGUUUGUUUGUUUGUUUGUUUUGGGUGUUAUUUUUUAAUAACUGAAGAUGACCAGCUUACAGUAGUAUUUUCUCCUUUCCCCAAAUCCACAUUUUCUAGUCUCGAAGAGGUUAAUAUUUGGCUGAAUAGCACUACAAAGUAGCAAUGUAGCUAAUGCUCCCAUAAAACAGUGUUAGAAAAACUCAUGCUAAUAAAGUCUAAAAUCCACAGGGCUUCCCAGUUAAACAGAGAGAGAAAGCUUUGCAACUAGAGCUCUAUCUGAUUAACUGUCGCUUUGUGUCUGACACGUACUAUUUAACUUUUAAAGAAAGUUCCAUGAAACAAGAAAAUGAGCCUGGUUUUGUAUAGAUUAGUGUCCGAUGCCUCUGCAUUCAUGUGUCUGUAGUAAAUUGGUUCCUUUGUCUCUCUCCUUUAGCCAGCACUGCCUUCAGAUUCCCUAUGUAUCCCUGGAACAACUCCACACCAUAAUAUCAGUCUAAGAAAGCAUAGUUCCAGGUUACUUACAGAGGAGUAGCUGAUGAACAGCCAGAAGGGCAGCAGCUGAUUUUCAUUUUUUAUGUCAUAUUAAUGAAGAAACCACGUUGAUAGUGUCUCUGUUAGCCAGCCAGCCAACUUUUAAUUUCCCAUGGGACUUCUGUGCUGUCAUAUAUUUUUGAAGUAUCUAUCCCAAUCAGAGUUUCUUGAAUUCAUUUGUAAGAUUUUAGAGUGCAGGUGACUGAAAAAAAAAAAAAAAAAAAAAAGCUCAUUUUCCUGCAGAAACUAAGCUAAUUAUGUUCUGCUUAUUGUUGAAGUGAACAUUUCAGUAAGACUACAGAUCUUUUCUAAAGCACCAUAUCGUUAAAAUAGUCAAUGCUUUUACUACCUCUGCAUAGUAUCCAGUAUAUACCAGUUUAUUUUUUGACCUAGAGAAUGCUUUUUAUCAUAGAGUAUCCCGAGUUAAAAGGAACCCACAAGAAUCAAGUCCAUCCUAUGGCUCCACCAGACCACCAAAAUAAACGCUCCUUGAAUUCCAGCACUUGGCAGACUGUGCAGACUGUCCUGGGCAGCAUGUCCCAUGCCCACUGCCCUCUUGUAAAGAACCCUUCCCCUAACCUUCCCUGACAUGGCUCUAUGCCAUUCCCUCAGACCCUGUCUCUGUCACCAGAGAGCAUACACUAUGCUAACAGAACUAUGCCAUUAUUGGCCCUGAACUUCAGUGACAUGGCUCUGAUCCCUUGUAGUAUUUUAGUAACCACGUCAAAGGAAUAUCCUACAGUGUGACUGUAUGGAUGAUUGGUUGAAGCUAUCUGCUUAUAUUUGCCAGCUUGUUUACUUCUUUGGGAGAGUAGAGGCAACCUAAAAGGCAGAAGCUGGGAAUGAGUGUGAGUUGUAUACUUGGGUGCCUACACCAAAGACUUCACAGUUUUUGUUAAGCUAACAUGUCAUUUUUCCGGUCUUCUGUUUUCCAAGAAGGAAAGCAUCCAAAAGUUUUUAAAAUCUCCCUUCAAAUAAAUUGUGACAAUCAUGCUGAACGU